rnacentral:rRNA from 1 species
UACGGAGGGGGCGAGCGUUAGUCGGAAUCCUUGGGCGUAAAGGGCGCUGUGGCGGCCAGCGCAAGUCAGUUGUGAAAUCUCCGGGCUUAACUCGGAAAGGUCAACUGAUACUGCGCGGCUAGAGUGCAGAAGGGGCAACUGGAAUUCUCGGUGUAGCGGUGAAAUGCGUAGAUAUCGAGAGGAACACCUGCGGCGAAGGCGGGUUGCUGGGCUGACACUGACGCUGAUGCGCGAAAGCCAGGGGAGCGAACGGG